rnacentral:rRNA from 1 species
GAUGAACGCUAGCGGCAGGCUUAACACAUGCAAGUCGAGGGGUAGCAGGUCUUCGGACGCUGACGACCGGCAAACGGGUGCGGAACACGUACGCAACAUACCCUUUACAGGGGGAUAGCCCGGAGAAAUCCGGAUUAACACCCCAUAGUAUAUUUGAGAGGCAUCUCUCGAUUAUUAAAAUUUAUUGGUAAAGGAUUGGCGUGCGUCCCAUUAGAUAGUUGGCGGGGUAAUGGCCCACCAAGUCAGCGAUGGGUAGCUGGUGUGAGAGCACGACCAGCCACACGGGCACUGAGACACGGGCCCGACUCCUACGGGAGGCAGCAGCGAGGAAUAUUGGUCAAUGGACGCAAGUCU